rnacentral:rRNA from 1 species
UACGGAGGAUGCAAGCGUUAUCCGGAAUGAUUGGGCGUAAAGCGUCCGCAGGUGGCUGUGUAAGUCUGCUGUCAAAGAAUGAGGCUUAACCUCAUCAAGGCAGUGGAAACUACACAGCUAGAGUACGGUCGGGGUAGAAGGAAUUCCUGGUGUAGCGGUGAAAUGCGUAGAGAUCAGGAAGAACACCGGUGGCGAAAGCGUUCUGCUAGACCUGUACUGACACUGAGGGACGAAAGCUAGGGGAGCGAAUGGG